UCAGAUGAACGCUGGCGGCGUGCCUAAUACAUGCAAGUCGAGCGAACAGAUAAGGAGCUUGCUCCUUUGACGUUAGCGGCGGACGGGUGAGUAACACGUGGAUAACCUACCUAUAAGACUGGGAUAACUUCGGGAAACCGGAGCUAAUACCGGAUAACAUAUUGAACCGCAUGGUUCAAUAGUGAAAGGCGGCUUUGCUGUCACUUAUAGAUGGAUCCGCGCCGUAUUAGCUAGUUGGUAAGGUAACGGCUUACCAAGGCAACGAUACGUAGCCGACCUGAGAGGGUGAUCGGCCACACUGGAACUGAGACACGGUCCAGACUCCUACGGGAGGCAGCAGUAGGGAAUCUUCCGCAAUGGGCGAAAGCCUGACGGAGCAACGCCGCGUGAGUGAUGAAGGUCUUCGGAUCGUAAAACUCUGUUAUCAGGGAAGAACAAAUGUGUAAGUAACUGUGCACAUCUUGACGGUACCUGAUCAGAAAGCCACGGCUAACUACGUGCCAGCAGCCGCGGUAAUACGUAGGUGGCAAGCGUUAUCCGGAAUUAUUGGGCGUAAAGCGCGCGUAGGCGGUUUUUUAAGUCUGAUGUGAAAGCCCACGGCUCAACCGUGGAGGGUCAUUGGAAACUGGAAAACUUGAGUGCAGAAGAGGAAAGUGGAAUUCCAUGUGUAGCGGUGAAAUGCGCAGAGAUAUGGAGGAACACCAGUGGCGAAGGCGACUUUCUGGUCUGUAACUGACGCUGAUGUGCGAAAGCGUGGGGAUCAAACAGGAUUAGAUACCCUGGUAGUCCACGCCGUAAACGAUGAGUGCUAAGUGUUAGGGGGUUUCCGCCCCUUAGUGCUGCAGCUAACGCA
rnacentral:rRNA from 2 species